rnacentral:misc_RNA from 1 species
GGGGGAGGAGGCCUAAGGCAGUGCUGGUGACUGGGGUGAAGUCGUAACAAGGUAGCCGUACCGGAAGGUGUGGCUGGAUCACCUCCUUUUUAGGGAGACCUACCCAACUUUAAUAUCGAGGACACACAGUUAAUAGAUAUAAAGAUGGUCAUUCCUAGGUCGGUCGCAAACACUUGUAAAAAGCUUUCAAACUAUGAUUUGGUUCAAUUAUGGGCUAUUACCUCAGGUGGUUAGAGCGCACCCCUGAAAAGGGUGAGGUCCCUGGUUCGAGUCCAGGAUGGCCCACCUGAAUCAAUGCAAAAUUAAAAAUUCAAAAUUCAAAAUUAAGAAGUUAUUUUUGAAUUUUGCAUUUUGAAUUUUGAAUUGUGUUGGGGGGUUUAGCUCAGUUGGUAGAGCGCCUGCUUUGCAAGCAGGAUGUCAGCGGUUCGAGUCCGCUAACCUCCACCUUGAGAGCGUCAGCAAUCAAAGCAAAGAUAAAAUUCAGCAAAAUGGCAUUUUGCCAGACUGCUGGGUUAAAUCUCAGCCAGAACCUUGAAAAACUGCAUAA